AUCGUGCAAGAGCCUGCAAAGACCAAAAGACAGCUUCAUAUCCCCUGGAACUCGGUUGCAGAUGCUUGUUGGCCAGCAGCUUUCGGGAGAUGGGAGAUGGAGACGAGGACAGGAGAAAGAGAUGCCUUUUGACUUAGGCCAGCAAUGUCCAGCAAUGCAGGUGCAUCGAGCACACGUGCGGCAGAGAAGUGGCUUCUGGAAGCAGGAAGAAGCUUCAGCAGAAGAGCGCAGAAACCCAAAAUUUCCGGGAAAAUAUACUUAGAUGGUUUUAUUGUUGUUUAUGGAUUUGUUUAUUUGCUUGUUUGGGGGGGGACUAAGAGAUGACUUAUUCUGGAGCCACAAUGCAUGACCAUGGCCCAGGGACAAGGAUUAGGUUACCCCAACUCCCAUAGACCAGCAUGGAAGUAGUCUCAUGGUUUCCCAGAAAGUCAUACUUCAGGGGCUGGAGAGAUGGCUCAGCGGUUAAGAGCACUGACUGCCCUUCCAGAGGUCCUGAGUUCAAAUCCCAGCAACCACAUGGUGGCUCACAACCAUCUGUAAUGGGAUCCAGUGCCCUCUUCUGGUGUGUCUGAAAACAGCUGUAGUGUAUCCAUAUACAUAAAAUAAGUAAAUAAAAAAAAAAAGUCAUACAUCAAGGCAAGUCUAAAAUCAGUCGGUGGGCUGGUGGCACACACCUUUAAUCUCGGCACUUGGGAAGCAGAGGCAGGCGGAUCGUUCUGAGUUUGAGGUCAGCCUGGUCUACAGAGCUAGUUUCAGAACCUCCAAGGCUAUGCAGAGAAAUCCUGUCCUGAAAAACAAAAACAAAGAAAACAAAGUAAAAUUAAUGAGUAUAUCAGCAAGGUCCUUACAUGGAGAUGGGGGACGCUUUCAUGUACGCCUUAGAUGCUAUCUGAUGACCUGAUUAGCUUUUGGGUUCAUGGGUCCUAGUGGUAUGCUAAACGAAUAGAUUCCAACAGAUUAGUCUGAGAAUGGUAGUCAAGAAAGGAAUGCUAUCGAGGCUGCUAAAGGUAGCCCAGUACUCCAGUCUUUGCAGACCACUGCUGUUCUAACCAGUUGGUCUUUACAGACAUAGCUUCUUCCCAGUUCCUGUUUACAGUUCCCCUUGUUAGAUAAACAUCAUAUUUUGUGCAUUCAAAGAACCACAUAUUAUUUAUUAAGUAUUACAAGGCCUCAUAGGAAAGCUUACUCCUAGGAUACUAGCAUCCUAAACAAACAAACAAAAAAAAAAAAGAUAGAAGGAAAAGUCCUAAUUUGCUAGGUACAGUGACCCAUGCCAUUAACCCCCCUAUCUGGGUGACAGAGGCAGACAGAUCUCCGUGAAUUGGAUGCCAGCCUGGUUGUGUUCCGGUUAAUCAGAAUGACAGAGUGAAAACUUAUCUUUUAAAAAGUUACAUUUUUGGGGUUGGGGAUUUAGCUAAGUGGUAGAGCGCUUACCUAGCAAGCGCAAGGCCCUGGGUUCGGUCCCCAGCUCCGGAAAAAAAAAGUUACAUUUUGGGGGUUGUAGAGAUGGCUCAGAGGUUAAGAGCACUGACUGCUCUUCCAGAGGUCCUGAGUUCAAUUCCCCCACAUGGUGGCUCACAACCAUCUGUAAUGGGAUCUGAUGCCCUCUUCUGGCCUGCACGUGUACAUGCAGGUGGAGUGCUAUAUACAUAAUAAAUAAAUCUUUAAAAAAAAACAAA
rnacentral:lncRNA from 1 species